UAUUGUUGUAUAGUGGUUAGAGCGAUGGUCUCGUAACCUAAAGGUUGCGGGAUCGAAUCCCGCUAGAG
rnacentral:tRNA from 1 species